GCAGUCGUGGCCGAGUGGUUAAGGCGUCUGAUAGAAAUCAGAUUCCCUCGGGGAGCGUAGGUUCGAAUCCUACCGACUGCG
rnacentral:tRNA from 1 species